GCGAGCGUGGCGGAACUGGCAGACGCGCUAGACUUAGGAUCUAGUACCUUCGGGUGUGGGGGUUCGACUCCCUUCGCUCGCA
rnacentral:tRNA from 1 species